GACGAACGCUUGCGGCGUGCCUGAGAAAUGCAAGUCGAGCGGGGUGUAGCAAUACACCUAGCGGCGAACGGUCGAGUAACACGUAAGCAACCUGCCCUGCAGUGGGGGAUAACAGCGGGAAACUGCUGCUAAUACCGCAUAGGCAUAUUUCUGGGCAUCCAGGGAUGUGUAAAGGCUAGACUGCUGCAGGAGGGGCUUGCGGCCUAUUAGCUAGUCGGUGGGGUAACGGCCUACCGAGGCGACGAUGGGUAGCUGGUCUGAGAGGAUGGUCAGCCGGAUCGGGACUGAGACACGGCCCGGACUCCUACGGGGGGGCAGCAAUCAGGAAUAUUGCGCAAUGGGGGAAACCCUGACGCAGCGACGCCGCGUGCGGGAUGAAGGCCUUGGGUCGUAACGCUGUUGUGGGAGACGAAUGACUGUCGAUGAGGCAGUGGAGACGGUAUCUCACGAGGAAGCCCCGGCUAACACGUGCCAGCAGCCCGGUAAACA
rnacentral:rRNA from 1 species